UCAGAAAUUUUUGGAUUAUUGAGGAUCUCUCAACUCUAUUCUUUCUUAUCAUUAACUGGUUUCAAGAUGAAUGGCAAAGCUGAUGAGCUAGACUUGUCUUGACUUCCGAAGAUUCCAAGGCAAAAUGGCUGAGGAAUCAAGCAAUUGUAAAGGAUUUUGGCGAUUGUUAUCAGUCUCUCAGUCAUUUAUGAACUGUCGUCCAAUGAUUUACUUGUCUGCUAUCUUGCAUUUCUGCUGACUGGAUGGGGUCUGAUUUUGGUUGCUCAAGCUGUGAGGCCAAUUAUUUGGAACACCAGACUCUGGCAGUUCACUGAGGUACUAGCUAAGGCAUAUGAUUACAGAAUGGGAUCGAUCCUUUUCUCUCCGGUUGCUAUACUGGCAUGGCUUCUGAUCAUUUCGGCAUUCCAAACUCGAUUCCUUUUCAACCAGGCUUUCAAUAGGCAUCUCCAAAUCCAACCAAUUCUUGAAGGGAAGAAGAAACAAAAAUAAAGUUUUGACAUUCAUAAACAUUCUGCCCAUUAAUUAUUUGUACAUUUCAAAGAGAUAUAAUAUAUAGUUGUAAAUAACAAUGAUUCAUUACUUCGAAAUAAUACACCUCAAAAUUUCAGUAGAUAAA